UCGGUGCCGCAGCUAACGCAUUAAGUACUCCGCCUGGGAAGUACGCUCGCAAGAGUGAAACUCAAAGGAAUGGACGGGGACCCGCACAAGUAGCGGAGCAUGUGGUUUAAUUCGAAGCAACGCGAAGAACCUUACCUAAGCUUGACAUCCCAAUGACAUCUCCUUAAUCGGAGAGUUCCCUUCGGGGACAUUGGUGACAGGUGGUGCAUGGUUGUCGUCAGCUCGUGUCGUGAGAUGUUGGGUUAAGUCCCGCAACGAGCGCAACCCUUGUCUUUAGUUGCCAUCAUUAAGUUGGGCACUCUAGAGAGACUGCCAGGGAUAACCUGGAGGAAGGUGGGGAUGACGUCAAAUCAUCAUGCCCCUUAUGCUUAGGGCUACACACGUGCUACAAUGGGUAGUACAGAGGGUUGCCAAGCCGUAAGGUGGAGCUAAUCCCUUAAAGCUACUCUCAGUUCGGAUUGUAGGCUGAAACUCGCCUACAUGAAGCUGGAGUUACUAGUAAUCGCAGAUCAGAAUGCUGCGGUGAAUGCGUUCCCGGGUCUUGUACACACCGCCCGUCACACCACGGGAGUUGGAGACGCCCGAAGCCGAUUAUCUAACCUUUUGGAAGAAGUCGUCGAAGGUGGAAUCAAUAACUGGGGUGAAGUCGUAACAAGGUAGCCGUAUCGGAAGGUGCGGCUGGAUCACCUCCUUUCUAAGGA
rnacentral:rRNA from 1 species